GUAGGGAAUAUUGGACAAUGGGGGCAACCCUGAUCCAGCGACGCCGCGUGAGUGAUGAAGGCCUUCGGGUCGUAAAGCUCUGUUGCAGGGGAAGAACACAAUGACGGUACCCUGCUAGAAAGGAUCGGCUGACUUCGUGCCAGCAGCCGCGGUAAGACGAGGGAUCCUAGCGUUGUUCGGAAUUAUUGGGCGUAAAGCGGGUGCAGGUGGCUUGGUAAGUCAGAUGUGAAAGCCUGGGGCUUAACCCCAGAAGUGCAUUUGAUACUGCUGAGCUUGAGUGCUGGAGAGGCUAUUAGAAUUCCUGGUGUAGUGGUGAAAUACGUAGAUAUCAGGAGGAAUACCGGAGGCGAAGGCGGAUAGCUGGCCAGACACUGACACUCAGACCCGAAAGCGUGGGGAUCAAACAGGAUUAGAAACCCGAGUAGUCC
rnacentral:rRNA from 1 species